rnacentral:rRNA from 3 species
UGAAUGACUCUCGGCAACGGAUAUCUCGGCUCUUGCAUCGAUGAAGAACGUAGCGAAAUGCGAUACUUGGUGUGAAUUGCAGAAUCCCGUGAACCAUCGAGUCUUUGAACGCAAGUUGCGCCCGAGGCCACUAGGUUGAGGGCACGUCUGCCUGGGCGUCACAC